rnacentral:rRNA from 1 species
CCUACGGGCGGCAGCAGUAGGGAAUUUUGCGCAAUGGGCGAAAGCCUGACGCAGCAACGCCGCGUGAUCGAGACGCCCUUCGGGGUGUAAAGAUCUGUCAGUGGGGACGAAACUUGACGGUACCCACAGAGGAAGCACCGGCUAACUCCGUGCCAGCAGCCGCGGUAAUACGGGGGGUGCAAGCGUUAUCCGGAUUCACUGGGUGUAAAGGGAGCGUAGACGGCGAGACAAGUCUGGAGUGAAAGGCCGGGGCCCAACCCCGGGACUGCUCUGGAAACUGCCUGGCUGGAGUACAGGAGAGGUAAGUGGAAUUCCUAGUGUAGCGGUGAAAUGCGUAGAUAUUAGGAGGAACACCAGUGGCGAAGGCGGCUUACUGGACUGUAACUGACGUUGAGGCUCGAAAGCGUGGGGAGCAAACAGGAUUAGAUACCCCAGUAGUC